GAGAUGUGGGAAGAGGGACUAUUAAUAGAAAAGAUUAUGAAUAUCAGGUAGAAAUGGAGGAAAAAUGCCGAUAGGAGACGAGAAGGCAGCAGAUCAUGAUGACAUAUUGGGUCAAUUCACAAAGAUAAUAACCAUCCAACCAUAAGAGCUAUUGAGCCGCGGUGGGAACAUGAAAGAAGGCCAACAAAGAGCUUUGUUUAUUAGUGGCGUGGCCAUAAAACACCCGAAACAUGUCUGUCAACCAUCAUUAAAAACAAGAAGAAGAAGAAACAUCAGAGACACGUCAU